rnacentral:rRNA from 1 species
AUUGAACGCUGGCGGCAGGCCUAACACAUGCAAGUCGAACGAGUGGCGGACGGGUGAGUAAUGUCUGGGAAACUGCCCGAUGGAGGGGGAUAACUACUGGAAACGGUAGCUAAUACCGCAUACCAUCAGAUGUGCCCAGAUGGGAUGAGCUAGUUGGUGGGGUAACGGCCUACCAAGGCGACGAUCCGUAGCUGGUCUGAGAGGAUGAUCGUGAAGACUGGAACGGAGACACGGCCCAGACUCCUACGGGAGGCAGCGGUGGGGAAUAUUGGACGAUGGGCGAAAGCCUGAUCCAGCCAUGCCGCGUGGAUGAAGAAGGUCUUCGGGUUGUAAAGUACUUGCAGUUGGGAGGCGUUACCAACAGAAUAAGCACCGGCUAACUCCGUGCCAGCCGCCGCGGUAAUAC